UAGGGAAUCUUCGGCAAUGGACGAAAGUCUGACCGAGCAACGCCGCGUGAGUGAAGAAGGUUUUCGGAUCGUAAAACUCUGUUGUUAGAGAAGAACAAGGACGUUAGUAACUGAACGUCCCCUGACGGUAUCUAACCAGAAAGCCACGGCUAACUACGUGCCAGCAGCCGCGGUAAUACGUAGGUGGCAAGCGUUGUCCGGAUUUAUUGGGCGUAAAGCGAGCGCAGGCGGUUUCUUAAGUCUGAUGUGAAAGCCCCCGGCUCAACCGGGGAGGGUCAUUGGAAACUGGGAGACUUGAGUGCAGAAGAGGAGAGUGGAAUUCCAUGUGUAGCGGUGAAAUGCGUAGAUAUAUGGAGGAACACCAGUGGCGAAGGCGGCUCGCUGGUCUGUAAUUGACGCUGAGGCUCGAAAGCGUGGGGAGAAAACAGG
rnacentral:rRNA from 1 species